rnacentral:rRNA from 1 species
GUGUCAGCAGCCGCGGUAAUACGUAGGUGGCAAGCGUUGUCCGGAUUAUUGGGCGUAAAGCGAACGCAGGCGGGAGAACAAGUCAGCUGUGAAAGCCCUCGGCUUAACCGAGGAACGGCAACUGAAACUGUUUUUCUUGAGUGCAGAAGAGGAGAGUGGAACUCCAUGUGUAGCGGUGAAAUGCGUAGAUAUAUGGAAGAACACCAGUGGCGAAGGCGGCUCUCUGGUCUGUAACUGACGCUGAGGUUCGAAAGCAUGGGUAGCGAACAGGAUUAGAUACCCUGGUAGUCCAUGCCGUAAACGAUGAGUGCUAAGUGUUGGGAGGUUUCCGCCUCUCAGUGCUGCAGCUAACGCAUUAAGCACUCCGCCUGGGGAGUACGACCGCAAGGUUGAAACUCAAAGAAAUUGACGG